rnacentral:rRNA from 1 species
GAUGAACGCUGGCGGCGUGCCUAAUACAUGCAAGUCGAGCGAACGGACGAGAAGCUUGCUUCUCUGAUGUUAGCGGCGGACGGGUGAGUAACACGUGGAUAACCUACCUAUAAGACUGGGAUAACUUCGGGAAACCGGAGCUAAUACCGGAUAAUAUUUUGAACCGCAUGGUUCAAAAGUGAAAGACGGUCUUGCUAUCACUUAUAGAUGGAUCCGCGCUGCAUUAGCUAGUUGGUAAGGUAACGGCUUACCAAGGCAACGAUGCAUAGCCGACCUGAGAGGGUGAUCGGCCACACGGGAACUGAGACCCGGUCCAGACUCCUACGGGAGGCAGCAGUAGGGAAUCUUCCGCAAUGGGCGAAAGCCUGACGGAGCAACGCCGCGUGAGUGAUGAAGGUCUUCGGAUCGUAAAACUCUGUUAUUAGGGAAGAACAUAUGUGUAAGUAACUGUGCACAUCUUGACGGUACCUAAUCAGAAAGCCACGGCUAACUACGUG